rnacentral:lncRNA from 1 species
CAGUGGGUAGCCCUGUUAGACUCUUUUCUUUCUGGUUAUAGGAUUGAAAUGAACAUUUGCCAGUGUUGAUAAGAUUGCUACCAAGACACAGAGACUCUUAGGAUGAAGAGGAACUUCUUAAGGAGGAGGCAAAGACCCGGCCCAGUAAGUUUACCAUCUCUUCCCCCUGCUUUCCAUCUACACCUCUGGGGCUACUAUGGAGAUCAUUCACUUGCACAGGAAGUUUUCCACACUGCUGAAUGGAGCCUUCUCUGGAUGGCCCUUGUUCAUGGGUUCAUGCUGUCCUUGGAGGAAAUAUCCUACGUUUUAUCCCUCAGGAACCUGGGUCAUUCCUCACUGCAUCAUCUCUAUUUAAGGAUGUAAACCUAAACCUCAGAUUCUGCUAUGGUGAGUACUGAAUGAGUAUAUCGAUUCAUGUAAUGUGUGCAGUG